rnacentral:lncRNA from 1 species
UAAUAUUUGGGUCAUUCGAAGAAGAAAUGUAAUAUAUCUUUGUAGUAAAAAAUCCCAUCUUGAUCAAGUUUUUCACCGUCACAAAGUUUCCGGAUAUGAUGUCAUUAGGGACCGGUCAUUAUUUAUGGCGGGGGGUGGCACCGAAGAGAAAAGGGUUGGGUAAACAAAAUUUUGAGUGAGAAAAAGGUUGGGUGAAUGAAAAACGAAACAACUCAAAGGUUGGGUAAUAAAAAUUUAUUGUCUUUUCCAAAGCAUGACUCACUCAAAUAUUGAAGACUGAGAACUUCAAUGUCAACAGUCAUAUUUCAAUACAAUAUGUGAAUCAAUCAGAGUCACUAUCUUUAUCAUUUUCCGUUUUGUUGGGAGACAAAUGGUGUCUCCAAAGAAAGUAAAUGUACAGACAACAUGAAACUUUAGACUGCAGAAAAGUCAGUAAAUUUCACAAGCCGAACGUUAUCAAACUCGUAUCACAGAAGUGGUAACUAGGACAUGUGUGACAACUGAAUGGUAUCCUUUUGUAACGUUUUUGGCCAGGAGUGGGUAUUUAUUUUUUAAAUGAUACUUGAGGUUGGGUAAUCAAAUUUUUUAUUUUUUAAUGGUUGGGUCAGCAAAAUUUUUGGCACGAAAAACAUUUCUCUUCGGUGCCACCCCCCACCAUAAAUAAUGACCGGUCCCUUAGAUGAUUUGCAAAUUCGUUUUCCUUUGUUUUUUGCUCCAAAAAUUCAUCCAAUGACAUCGUAUCUGGAAACUUUGAGAGUGAAAAAGUUGAUCAAGAUGAGAUAUUUUACAAUAAAGAGAUAUUACAUUUCUUCUCAGAAUGACCCAAAUAUUGCACAUAGCAAAAAUUAUAUUUGGGGUUAGUCGCAGUUAAAUUUCCUGGGUUUUUAACCUUUUUCCUACAAUAGUCUAGUUAAUAUAUUUGACCAGGACGUUCUUGUGAAAUUAACCAGUCUAUAUUUGGUGCUUUAUCCACCUGACAUAGUCCAGGUAAUUUUAACAUGGGCGACCUGGUCAAUUAUAACCAGUUUCCUGGUUAUAUUAACCCAUGAGCCUAUCGAAGGGAAGAUUGGUAAUCGUUCCAUGUUUCGCGCACCAAUAUAGCUAGUAAACGUUAUGUAAUGGAUAUUAUAGCUAGUAUACUGAAAAGUUAACUGAUUACCUUCAUACACAUAUAUACACACCCUAACCCUAACCUUAAACCUACCCCUAACCUAACCCUAAUACCUAACCCUAACCUAUAUUGGUGCGCGAAACAUGGAACGAUAACCGGAAGAGGGCUGUGAAACUCAUUAGAAUAGUCGACGUUUAUUCAUAAAUCUGGUCCUUCACCGUCACGUGUGUAUUGUAUUUCUGCCAAAUCCACCAAUCGCAAUUUCCAAUUUCCCUGUAUUGUUCGAGUCACGAAUAGAUAACUUUCGUAAAACAUUGCUAUUGGUUAGUUAAAAAUAGAAUACACACGUGACGGUGAAGUACCAGAAUUAUGAAUAAGCGUUGCCCUAACAUACUGUAGAUAAUGAGUUAUAUUGUUAUUCUAAUGAGUUUCACAGUCAUCUUCCCUUCGAUACCAGACUAUAUGGAGUCCCGUAGGAACUGAGAUAAAAUGACCAGGCAAUUUAACCAGAAGUAUUUAAAUUAACCCAAAUAGUAUUAUUUUAAUUUCUAGGUAGUGGAGAUUUUAAUUAACCAUCGUUCAUUUUAUAUAAGAGUUAUUGACAAUAUUGUAUAUAUAGACUAUAGUGACUGAGUUAGAGUAUUGAAUUUUCCAUGAACGGUACAGUGCACAGUUUGACAAAAAGUGUGAAGUCAGUAAAGCUCGAUUCAAAGACAAUUUAUCUGAACGCACAUGCAGUUAUGUCGCUGUCUGGUGACAGCAUUGGGGACAUUAACUCCGAAACAUUAAUAAACGGCAAUACCGAAUCAAAGAUGCGUAUACUUUUAUUUAUUCUUAGUCGAUAAUUUUUUUCAAGAAAAAUUGCGGAUCUGUAACUCAUACGGGAAUUUGCGUCGUUCGUAUAUAAGACAUAUAAGAAAGCUUAUAAAUUCUUGAUCCC